rnacentral:rRNA from 1 species
UACGGAGGAGGCAAGCGUUAUCCGGAAUUAUUGGGCGUAAAGCGUCCGCAGGUGGCACUUCAAGUCUGUCGUCAAAGACUGGGGCUUAACCCUGGAAAGGCGGUGGAAACUGAAGCGCUAGAGUGCGGUAGGGGUAGAGGGAAUUCCCGGUGUAGCGGUGAAAUGCGUAGAUAUCUGGAGGAACACCGGUGGCGAAGGCGGCAUCCUGGACCAACACUGACACUGAGGAGCGAAAGCCAGGGGAGCAAACGGG